GAUGAACGCUGGCGGCGUGCCUAACACAUGCAAGUCGAGCGAUUCUCUUCGGAGAAGAGCGGCGGACGGGUGAGUAACGCGUGGGUAACCUACCCUGUACACACGGAUAACAUACCGAAAGGUAUGCUAAUACGGGAUGAUAUAUAGAAAUCGCAUGAUUUUUAUAUCAAAGAUUUAUCGGUACAGGAUGGAUCCGCGUCUGAUUAGCUUGUUGGCGGGGUAACGGCCCACCAAGGCGACGAUCAGUAGCCGACCUGAGAGGGUGAUCGGCCACAUUGGAACUGAGACACGGUCCAAACUCCUACGGGAGGCAGCAGUGGGGAAUAUUGCACAAUGGGCGCAAGCCUGAUGCAGCAACGCCGCGUGAGCGAUGAAGGCCUUCGGGUCGUAAAGCUCUGUCCUCAAGGAAGACAAUGACGGUACUGAG
rnacentral:rRNA from 1 species